rnacentral:rRNA from 1 species
UGGGGAAUUUUGGACAAUGGGGGAAACCCUGAUCCAGCCAUCCCGCGUGUGCGAUGAAGGCCUUCGGGUUGUAAAGCACUUUUGGCAGGAAAGAAACGUCAUGGGUUAAUACCCCGUGAAACUGACGGUACCUGCAGAAUAAGCACCGGCUAACUACGUGCCAGCAGCCGCGGUAAUACGUAGGGUGCAAGCGUUAAUCGGAAUUACUGGGCGUAAAGCGUGCGCAGGCGGUUCGGAAAGAAAGAUGUGAAAUCCCAGAGCUCAACUUUGGAACUUCAUUUUGAACUACCGGGCUAGAGUGUGUCAGAGGGAGGUGGGAUUCGGCGUGUAGCAGUGAAAUGCGUAGAUAUGCGGAGGAACACCGAUGGCGAAGGCAGCCUCCUGGGAUAACACUGACGAUCAUGCACAAAAGCGUGGGGAGCAAACAGG